rnacentral:RNase_P_RNA from 2 species
ACCGCCCUCAACGCUACCCUUCUAUGCUACAAACGGAGAGAUUCUUGCGCAAGCAGUUUCUCUCAAGCCUUUGAGUCUCUUCUCCGGAAGGGCUCUGGCAUCCAAAUUGCAUGUGAGAAAUUCGGAGAAACUCCCGAGACCUUUGCCCGAUCACCUGCGCCCCUUCGGGGUGCGGGUUGUUUGACGGCCUGCCGGCGACGGCACGGGGCGAACUCGCCUCCGCAGUUGGCAUCAGAAAAGCAGGGCGCUGGCUGUCCUCGUGUAUAACCCGCAAGGGGGAAGAUGGGGCUCCAGUCCAGCGUUCCUCUGGGAGCGUCACUGCCGGGAUUGCUUGUGACAGCAAGCUGAAGUGCGAUGGGUGGCGUGUCGUCUCCUUUCCCUAGUGGAAAGGGGCCUCAUCAUUCAAUUCCGAUCACUCUUUGGGCGGU